UACGGAGGGGGCUAGCGUUGUUCGGAAUUACUGGGCGUAAAGGGCGCGUAGGCGGCCUUCUAAGUCGAACGUGAAAUCCCCGGGCUUAACCUGGGAACUGCGCUUGUUACUGGCAGGCUUGAGUGUGGCAGAGGGGGGUGGAAUUCCACGUGUAGCAGUGAAAUGCGUAGAGAUGUGGAGGAACACCGAUGGCGAAGGCAGCCCCCUGGGCUAACACUGACGCUCAUGCACGAAAGCGUGGGGAGCAAACAGG
rnacentral:rRNA from 1 species